rnacentral:misc_RNA from 1 species
GAAAUGCGAUAAGUAGUGUGAAUUGCAGAAUUCAGUGAAUCAUCGAAUCUUUGAACGCACAUUGCGCCCCUUGGUAUUCCAUGGGGCAUGCCUGUUCGAGCGUCAUUUGUACCCUCAAGCUCUGCUUGGUGUUGGGUGUUUGUCCCGUCUCCGCGCGUGGACUCGCCCCAAAGUGAUUGGCAGCCGGCGUACUGGUCCCGGAGCGCAGCACAUGUCGCGCAAACGAGUGCCUUGGUACGGCGGCGUCCAUAAGCGCCUCUCUCACGCUCUUGACCUCGGAUCAGGUAGGGAUACCCGCUGAACUUAAGC